AAAGUGUUGCUUUUUAUUACUUCUUAAGUUUUCUUCAAUUUAUUUAAUUAAUAUUAAUUAAUUUUAAAUUAUUUUCCACAUUCUCUUGCCAGCAGAAAUCACUGCAGGGAGCUGUGCAGGGGCUCUGCUUGCAUAACAUUCAGUAAUCAGUCAGAAUUUCAGCUGCUCAAUGACCAUGUGUUUCUGCUGGGCUUCUUCCACAGAGUUCCUGUGUCUGGGAGGCUAAACUAUUUAAAUGCUCAGUAUCUCACCCUUCUAUUCAAACCAGAUCAUUGUCAUCAAAAUUUACAAAACAAUCACUCUAUGAUACACAGCUCUAAUCUAAUAAAGAUUUAUAACUAAUAAAAGCUAAAUAUCCUCAUUAUUCUUUGAAGAAUUUAGAGUGUGGCAUAAAGUUGAUGAUGUCUGCCAAUGUAUAAAACUACUGUUGUUAGGAUGUGCUAAGUCUACUUGGUGAUACCAUAUCUAGAUUAAGUUGUUUCAACUUAUUAUAACUGCUCCCAAGCUGUCACAUUGUCAGUCAAGGCAAAAAUCUUGUUCCUGGAGUUGGAAAUGUAUUCUGUGUUUCUUUACAGCAUAUGCCUAUCUUCUAGGACAACCUCCUCUGUCCACAGCCUCCUGUGAAUAUUUGUUUAGAGUUACUGAUCAUCAUAGAUGAUGAUCUGUAUUGUGUCAUGUUGUAGAGCUGGUGGAUCUGAGGACUACAAGGUGUAACUUGCAAGUUUGUUCCUUUUUAUCUAUCUCUUUAUAUUAUUUCAAACCCCUAGUUCCUCUUCUAACUUUAGGGUUUUUCAGUAUGUGUUCUCAUUUUUUAUUUUGUUAAAUACAUUGUCUACAGGUGAGAAGCCCUAUUUUAUUAGUGUAUUUUUCUAAGAUGUUGCAUCAGAGACUAUUAUUUUGCAUUAUAAAUACUCAAAAUUAUACAUAGAGUAUGUGUGGAAGUUUUAGUUGUAAAUACAGUAACAGUACUUCAAGAAUUAUUUAUCUAGUUAAUAUAGUCUUACUUGUAAUUGUAUUUUUAUUUCAACUUUGUCAAUAAUCCUCAAGAUUUCAAGCCAGGGAUAAUAAAUUGAAGUGGUAAUGAACUUUGGAACUUCAUUAAUAAAAUGAUGCAAAGUCUGUUAGGUGGAAGAGGACAUUAAUUUAUGAGCCAAUAGAUACUACUGGCCUGAAGGCUUCAGUUGAUUGUUAUAGCAAAGGUACAGGCAAGUCUCAUUAGCAUCUAACUGCAACAGUUUUAUCAACCAGGUUUGCCAAUAAAUGACAACUUUUUAAAAUACUGAUUUCUACCACAUCAUUGAAGUGAGGACAAUGGAGACUGGAAGUUAUCCACAGUGACAGAAUACAGUGUCAGUACCACUGAGAAAGGAGCAUGUUGGCUUUUCUCUUCACUUGUCUUUUUUACUUAGUGACUGAGACCAAUAAACCUUUCUGUCAUUGGAAAGUCUGAGAGAUAGGACUGGUGUCUUUCAGCUGGAAAAUCAGUAUCCAGCUUUUCUCUGCAUUCCAUGUUAUACCAACUUUCCUACCUGCGCUGCCAUUGGCUCAAGUCUAGGGCUUGCUGUGCCUCUGGCACACUAAACAAUAUUCUUUCCACCACCCUGAAAUGCUUUUCAGCCUCCUAUUUACUCAUGUAUCUAGUCUCUAUAACCCUUUAAUAAUGACAUGCUUAUCCGUGUCAUCUCUGAAUUUUACUUGGAUAUUCCUUGCUCUACUUGUUGUUUUAUUUUUUAAUUGCAUGUAAGACUGCACCUAGCAUGGUACUCAUGUGCCAUUGCCCAAUGUAAUAAAUAUUUUAUUUCAUUUAAAGCUGAUAGCAUAUUCAUUUCCCACUGCAACACUGAGCUUUCCCCUAUGAACAUUUCACUGGAGGUGGCACUGCAGAGGUCUUGUCCGUGUUGUGCAAGCUCUGCUGCUUCUGGCAAAAUGUGCAAAGCUGAUCCAUGACAUUUCUGGCUUCUGCAUGCCAAAUAUAUUUUCAGUUUAUCCCGGUUAUCAUAGACCAUGUGUGGUUCUCCAUGAUUUGAUCUUUGAGCUUACAUCUCUCAGAGCUCUUGUAUGGCAUAUUUUGUAUUUUCAUGGAGUUUAGAUCUGACUUGCACUUAAUUUUGGACUGGAUGACGGCCAGAGGCUGGUUCUUUGACCUUCUAUCAAUUUUGAAAAUUUUGAGGGUGAAUAAAUUCCCUUAUUAAGAGGACAAACCUUAAUUUGGAUUUUCUGAAAAAUUCUUGGGAGAGACACACCUUAGUAAUCUUUGAAAAGGUAAGAAUCAGCCAGACACAUGCAUUUUUUCAGCUUCACCUUAUUUUUUUUUAUUUGCCUAAAGAAAAUAAGUUUUAACAUUUCAUUUUUACGUGAAGUGCACUAUCUCAUCAUGUAUAUGGAUUUCUAAAGAGUCACUGCCAGAAUUGACUGGAACCUCUUAAACAUUUCAAAUGCAUCAAAAUUCAGUAUUAAGAAAAAUAAAGCUUCUGAUUGUCUUCCUUUUUACUGGCAUACAUGGCUUUUAAAUAAACAUGGAUUCAUAGCACAUACACAUGCAAUUUAUGAUUUCCCAAUUGCCUUCUGUAUUUCCAGACUUUCAGCUCUUCAGAACAUCUCAGUAGCUUCUUUUCUGUUGAAGUUACACCGCAUGGCAUCUUUUUAUUCCUGAUACCAUCUGGCAUUCCUUAAUCCCUCUGCACCCAAACUGCUUUCAAAGUUAUUCCUUAUUAGUGACGCAUUUCCAGCUGUCUCUGCUUAACCCAGUGAAGGCUUUUGCCGUGUCCCUGCUCCCGAGCCUGGGCAACUGAACCAUUUACAGUCACGGUGGCCAAGGCUAUGCCUUGGGAGGGAACAUGCUGUAGGCAGUCCCUGCACUGGAAGUCAUGGUGUGGGAAUGACACACUGGCAGAGGGGGUCAGUCUCCAGGUUCUUCCAAGAGAAGGACACCUUUUAAGUAAGAAAUAUAUUCAAAAUGCAGCCAAUACUAUUUGCCUGAUUAUGGUGUAUUACAACCUGAUAUUUCAGUAGAACACAGUGAAAUUAUCAGAGUAAUUGUUCCCAUGAGAUUCACAGAGAAAUGGCCCAGGGUCUCAAAAUAAAUAACCUUUAGGGCACUUCCUUGAGAUAUUGUUUUUGGAAAAUAUUAUCGAUCUCCAGAAAAUAAAUCUAAUACACCUCAGUUUGUUUAUGUAGCAUUGAGCCCUGUAAACAUUCAUGCUCAUUUCUCUUGGCCGCUGCUCUGAUGUGAAGAGCUGACAUCACCAUUGAGUGACAAAAGUACCAAGUGGGAAUUCUGUUCUCACAUGCUCUUCCCAGGACAGCCAAUAUAAGCCACAGGGGUGUAAAUGAGCAGAUGCUUUUCUCUUCUUGUGCAGAUACCUUCUGUCAGAGGGCACAUUGCUGAGCAAGAGUCUCAACUCCUAAGUUUUGUCUUUUUUCUUCUGCACAAGUAGCUGCUGCUGCUGUUAUUAUCGCUAUUAUUAAUCAUCAGUAUUGUUAUGUGAUGCUGCAGCUCUAUUCCCCUUCUUCUAAGAUGUUGUUUCUGUCACAGCCUUUUCUGCCUUUGAUCACAACCGAGAAAAAGGCUUUGACAUUGUAUGUAUUCCCCUAGCCCACUGCAAAGUCCUAAUCCUUCUAAUAGCUGGAGGUUUUCAGUUUAAGUCUUUUAUUAAUAUUCAGUCUUAAUUGUAAAGCACUUCAGUGAUAUCCAAAAGCCUAUCUUACAUAACAGUCUUAUCCACAUUUGAGUUCUUCAGAGCUGGAGUGUCAGGAAAAACCUCUGUUUGAUCUGCCUCGCCUGUCAUUAGUCCUCACGCCUUUAAUGCAAAAACCCAUUAACAAUAUAUUUCAACUGUCUAAGCUCAGAUAAUGUAUAUUUUUAAAUAUUUGAUAUUAUUAGAAAGAGUAUGACUUGCUGUCAUGUACAUAUUUAAGUGGUGUCGUGAGCAGAGUCUUUAUAAAGUCUUCUGGGAGCCUUGUUUGCAUCUCUAAAUCAUCUGGAAAGUGAAAGAAGCUAUAGGAAAUUUAGGUAAUUAAAACAUUUCAUAAAGUGGCAGUGAUUAUAAGAUCCUACUAUGCCUUAGGUUUUCCUCAGCUGGGUAAACAGGCAAGAGCACCUGGAAACUGGGAAAUACUUCCUUCCUGAUGGUGGAUAUCCCAGAAAGUCACUGAAAAGUAAUAAAAGAAAGACCUUUUUGCUAAUCAAUAAUACAUUUUUGAAUUACGGGUUUUAAGAUUUUAAUUAAUUGUAAAUGAUCAUUCACUUUCCUCUUACAGUGAUUCACCUAUUUUAGGAAAUUGCCAGCUCUUCCCAAUGUUUAUAUAUUUUAGUAAAGACUAGGAGUGAGCCUUCACACUAAAACUGGCGUAUUUACAAUAUGAACCCUUCGUGUUUACUUAAGGAGAUGGUUUUCAGAGGAUCGAUUCAGCUCAGACAUAUAGUGUCCAGACUGAACAAAGCCCAAAGUGCAAAGAUAGCCUGAAGUGAGAGCUUUUCCAAUAAACUAAUGUAGAAAGCAGAGUUCUAAAACAGUUUGAUGUAACUAAUAAGCAGAUAAAAGAGAGAUAUAAACUUGUGCUUCAGAUGGUAAAUAUUAACAUCUCCUUAAAAUCCACCUAAAAGGACAAAGGACAUACCAGCACAUGUCCACAGUUUGUAUGUCAGAGUAUGUCAGAGGCAGAUUUCUGUUUCCUCCAGCUUCUGUACAUGCUGUGUUGAAAGAUUUUUAGAAGCCUGCAAAACUUUCUCCUUUGCAUCUGAACAGAGAAUCUUAAAUCCAAAAUCCUGAGGACCCCUUUGGAAAGCAGAUGUUACUUCCUGUUCUUCACAUGGAAAGGAGCUAAGCCAUAGUGCAGUAAAGCUGAAAUCCCUGGAGGAACUCUUCACUGGGGGGAAGUACCUGAAUUUAUCAUUUCUGAUUCAAGCAAAAUUUUGGGCAGUAAGGGUGGUCAUGAACUCAUCUUUUGACAGCAGUUCCCUGCUUCACACUGGUGUAUGUUGAUUGCCUGAAAACUGCGAAGCUGGUUUUUGACACUGCACAGCUAAAACGACUUAUUCUUUAAUAAUUAUGUAAUAUAAAUGUUUCUCUAGAUGUUGAAUUGUUGGAAAUCACUAAAAACCUAAAUUAUUCAAUAUAACUUGAUAAUUGUACUAAUGAGAUUUUGUUAGAUACAACAUAGCACCCCUCUGAAGUGAAGAAUACAAAACACUUUGCAACAAACUUAUUUGUACUGUUGACAACUGAAAGGUAAUUUAGGCAGGGUGAUACUUCUGAAGCUGUAAUUUUGUUCAGGACAUCAGGUCUUCUAUUUAAUUAUUGAAAAAAAAAUAGAUCCUUAAAGAUAAGGAAUUCUCAGUGCCUCUGUCUAGUUUCCUGUGCCAGUGGCACUGGUGGCAGCAUCUUGUCCCUCUUGCUCCAUGAACCUGCUGGCUCAGCAGGGAGGUGGGCAUGCGUGCACAGGAGCUGUUUCAGCUGAUGCUCAAACCAGGUGUCCUUCCUCACUGGGGUCCUAGGGCUGUUUGUGAUCUGAAAGGCACUACUGGCUGCUGACAAACCUGACCACAUUUUGUAACUCAGCUUCCUUUGUAACAACUUUUCUUUCUGGUUAUAAACCAGACGUGCCAAACCCUGUCUCUCCCUGGAGCUAUAUUCUGCUUAUAACUGUGUUGGUUAUGUACCAAUAUCAAUGUUCAUUAAAUAAAAAGAUUUGAGAGAGAGCAGCUCUAUGGAGAGAGAACAGCUACCCCAGAGAUAAUGAGUGAUUCACUCCAGUUGAUCCCAAAUGCAUUUCAACUCACUAUAGUUAUUUCUUACUCUUGCCUGUUUGUUGUAUAACUGAGUUUACAUUGUAUAAUGGAGUUGUUCCAUGACACAUUCAGUUGUUCAGCCCAUAUUUUAGUUGUUGGUGUUGAAAGAGUCAAAGGAUGAAAGCAGUGCCUACUUUUAUUCUGAUUUCCCAGGUGCAUCAAAAGUGGCAGUAUAAAAUAUGAGGACUGAUGUAUGAUAAUCUUGUUACACCUUAAUACUUUUCCCACUGGAAAAUGUCCCUCUCCCAAAAUAAAUACAAGAGGUCUUCUUUGCCAGGAGACUGGCCUGAGAUCUGGCUGCUAGACAAUGGGCAAGCAAUAGUAAUUUAUUCAGCUUUGUCCCUAAACUUCCAACCCAAAUUGCAAGUAUCUGGCCUUCAGUGCUGCUCUCUUUCCAUUCCCUGAACUAAUUCUUAAGGCAGUU
ensembl:lncRNA